GUUCAUCCAGAGGGGAAGUAUGUUGUUGAUAUUGACAAAAGCAUAGAUAUAACGAAGAUCACCCCAUCAACGAGAGUCGCUCUUCGUAAUGAUAGCUAUGUUCUCCACCUGGUCCUGCCAAGUAAAGUAGAUCCAUUGGUUAACCUUAUGAAAGUUGAGAAGGUUCCAGACUCCACAUAUGACAUGAUUGGUGGUCUUGACCAGCAAAUUAAGGAAAUAAAAGAGGUAUGUCUAGUGAAAUAAAAAACGAAGCUAUAAAUCACUGGUUUAUUGGCAUUGCACUCUGUUGUUUCAUGCUUUUACUUUCGUUAUAAUAUUUUUUUUUGUUCAACAGGUCAUUGAGCUCCCAAUCAAGCAUCCUGAAUUGUUUGAGUCUCUUGGAAUUGCGCAGCCAAAGGUAAAUAUGCAUUUUGAAGCUUCUUCUUUGUAUUGUAACAACGUUAAGUGGAUUAGAGAUGAUUUCAUAUCCCUCUCUUUCUAGGGUGUGUUGUUAUACGGUCCACCUGGAACUGGAAAGACACUUUUGGCUCGAGCUGUGGCACAUCACACUGAUUGUACGUUCAUCAGAGUUUCUGGUUCCGAGCUGGUCCAGAAGUACAUUGGAGAAGGCUCUAGAAUGGUCAGAGAACUUUUUGUGAUGGCAAGGUUUGUAUGCUAACUCGUAUUUUAAAAUUUCAAGUAUUGUAAAUGGUGGUGUGUAGGAAAAGAUGGAAUUGUUGACGAGAUUAAUCUUUUUACUUGUCCACAUUUAGUAUCUGAGAUGGACUUGUGGUUAUCAAUAAAUUGAGGAAUGCGAUAUUUCUUGCUACUAUGAAUAUGGUUCCAUGGUGUAGCAAUCUCAAGGAAGAAUAUCUUCUGUAGAUUAGUACAUUAACGUGCCUAGCAUUUUGGCCACAGUACCAAAUCGUAUAUAAGGAGCAAAGGACACAUAGAUGAGAUGAUUGUGUUGAAAUUUACUUUUGCCCGUUGGCUUACAUUCGUAUUGCUGAAUGGUUUAUGGUUUUCAGGGAGCAUGCACCAUCAAUCAUCUUCAUGGAUGAAAUCGAUAGCAUCGGGUCAGCUCGUAUGGAAUCUGGAAGUGGCAAUGGUGACAGCGAGGUUCAACGGACUAUGCUUGAGCUUCUCAACCAACUUGACGGAUUCGAAGCGUCAAACAAAAUUAAGGUACGCGUUAAGCUGUAAAGGAAAAUAAAAAUCACGAAGCUGAAAAGGAAGAGUUUUUGUUUCUUAGAGUAAAUUUGCAGACAAACUCAUUUAUCAUCUCAAAUGACUGUUGCAGGUUUUGAUGGCAACAAAUCGAAUUGAUAUUCUGGAUCAAGCUCUUCUCAGGCCAGGAAGGAUUGACAGGAAAAUUGAAUUCCCUAAUCCUAAUGAAGACGUAAGCUUGCGCUUAUUUUGUAAAUUAUGGACUUACUCGUGAAGAUAGGCUGUAGAACAUGUUUGGCUAAUGUAUAUUUCUAAAAUUUGUUGCAGUCACGUUUUGAUAUCUUGAAAAUUCACUCGAGGAAAAUGAAUUUGAUGCGGGGAAUUGAUCUGAAAAAGAUUGGAGAGAAGAUGAAUGGUGCUUCAGGUGCUGAAUUGAAGGUAAAGUGUUUUUGUUCCCCUGAUUCUCUCUCGCUCGGUCUCUCUCUCUCUCUCUCUCUAAAAUUUGUCUCCGUCUUAAUGUGUUUGGUUACUACGGUCAGGCUGUGUGCACAGAGGCGGGCAUGUUUGCGCUGCGGGAGAGGAGAGUACACGUGACGCAGGAAGACUUUGAGAUGGCGGUGGCUAAGGUUAUGAAGAAAGACACAGAGAAGAACAUGUCUCUACGUAAGCUCUGGAAGUAGGAAUCUCUCACUGUUGCCUUGCUCAAAGGAGAGCCACAGAUUGAUUUCAGACCUAAGAAAUUAGUGCUUCUUUACUGUCUGUUGUUCUUUCUGAAACCAUUUCGGUUUGUUCUUUAAGCAUUUGAAAACAAAGUUUUUACUGCCUAAACAGUAGUUUGUUAUAUUCAAGUGUUCUCCCAAGCAUAACAGUUUCGAUUUAAACAAACAAGCAUCUACAUUUAGUAUUUGUUUCCCCAACCGAGUCAUUAGAUUACCUCACUAUUAUUAAGUAGAAAUUUCCAUACGGAUGCGCCAGCAUAUCAAGGGCAUGCCAUUGGGGGCAAUUCGAAAGUUUAGUCAGACGAACCAACAGUUGUAGUCGACACUUUGGUCUGACGAUCAGAAAAUGAAACAAAGAGACAAGGCACCUUCUCCGGAGAAGGCAGUGACCAUAAAAAAAUAAUAUAUAGGUUAAAGUAUAUUAUAUAUAAUUAAAAAAAUAUAAAUUGAGUAAAAAGGGAAAAAAAUCAUUAACCAAAAAAACUUUAUAUAAAGGCUUCAUGUCUCCAAUCUUGUACACGAUAUAAGUCGAUUAUAUUUCAACAAACUUUUUUUUUCAAUUAGAAACAAAUAAAACCAAAUAUGGUAAAAAAUCGUAAUACCGAAUACAAUAUUUUCGUAGUUUUCCCUGAAUUAAACUGAUAAUUUCGCCGAGCAAAGAAAACAGUAUUCCUAUGACAAAACCAAGAUUUUUUUUUCCCAAAAAAAAAAAAUAAUUGAACAAGAAAGGAGAUUUCUUGUUGGAUAAUUCAAGUUUCUUUUCUUGUUGGAUAAUUCAAGUUUCUUAUUUAUAUUGGGGUUUAUUAGCUUAAAAUGCUCUCGUCGUCUCUGUGAUCCAUCUUCGCAAAUACUAGAGAGAUAUUUGUCCGAUAAUUUGCGCAACCACCGAAGAUAUGGCGGCCGUAGGAGUAGAGGGGAGGCCUCCUGGGACAGCGAUGGAGGAAACCUGCAACGUCAAGGGAACGGUGGCGAAACAAGGGGAGGGGCUUAAGCAAUACUAUCUCCAGCACAUCCAUGAGAACCAGCGACUGCUCCGGCAGAAGACUAACAAUCUCAAUCGCCUUGAAGCUCAGAGGAAUGAGCUCAAUUCUCGAGGUCUUUUCUUCCUUCCUUAGCCCUAAUUUCUUCCUAUUUCUCUCGAAUUUCGGACGGAUCUCUUUGUUAGAUUGGAUGUUUUGAUCAUGUUCUUGGUUUAGUAACUUCGAUUACGUUCUACCUGGAGUUGGGUGCUCAUAAAUUUCUUAUUUGUUGUGGUGAUUGAUGGGAUAGUGGUUUUCCGAUCUGAAAGUGGUUGGGUGGCGAUAGGAUCGUCUUUGUUGCUAUCAUUCAUCUCCUGUGUUGGAUAGUUGGAUCUUUAUGAACUAAAUUUCGAAACCUCUUUGACACUACACAGUACGAAUGCUCAGAGAAGAGUUGCAGCUGCUUCAAGAACCUGGGUCCUAUGUGGGUGAAGUCGUAAAAGUGAUGGGAAAAAACAAGGUCUUGGUUAAGGUAUGAAUCCUAGAUAACUUAUUGUCUAAGAUUAACUGGGCUUUGAAUUUUUGAUGUAAUCUUAUGAACACUGCUUUCAAUAAGGCUUAAACUCCCAUUAUACAGGUUCAUCCAGAGGGGAAGUAUGUUGUUGAUAUUGACAAAAGCAUAGACAUAACGAAGAUCACCCCAUCAACGAGAGUCGCUCUUCGUAAUGAUAGCUAUGUUCUCCACCUGGUCCUGCCAAGUAAAGUUGAUCCGUUGGUUAACCUUAUGAAAGUUGAGAAGGUUCCAGACUCCACAUAUGACAUGAUUGGUGGUCUUGACCAGCAAAUUAAGGAAAUAAAGGAGGUAUGCCUAGUGAAAGAACAAACAAAGCUAAAAGUCAUUGGUUUGUCGGCAUUGUGCUCUGUUAUUUCAUGCUUUUAGUUUCGUUAUAAUAUUUUUUUUUGUUCAUCAGGU
rnacentral:lncRNA from 1 species